GGACGAGAGUCUGAACCAGCCAAGUAGCGUGCAGGAUGACGGCCCUAUGGGUUGUAAACUGCUUUUAUAAGGGAAUAAAGUGAGUCUCGUGAGACUUUUUGCAUGUACCUUAUGAAUAAGGACCGGCUAAUUCCGUGCCAGCAGCCGCGGUAAUACGGAAGGUCCGGGCGUUAUCCGGAUUUAUUGGGUUUAAAGGGAGCGUAGGCCGGAGAUUAAGCGUGUUGUGAAAUGUAGAUGCUCAACAUCUGAACUGCAGCGCGAACUGGUUUCCUUGAGUACGCACAAAGUGGGCGGAAUUCGUGGUGUAGCGGUGAAAUGCUUAGAUAUCACGAAGAACUCCGAUUGCGAAGGCAGCUCACUGGAGCGCAACUGACGCUGAAGCUCGAAAGUGCGGGUAUCGAACAGGAUUAGAUACCCUGGUAGUCCGCACGGUAAACGAUGGAGGCCCGCUGUUGGUCUGAAUAGGUCAAGCGGCCA
rnacentral:rRNA from 1 species